AGUGAACGCUGGCGGUAGGCCUAGCACAUGCAAGUCGAACGGCAGCACAGUAAGAGCUUGCUCUUACGGGUGGCGAGUGGCGGACGGGUGAGGAAUACAUCGGAAUCUACUUUUUCGUGGGGGAUAACGUAGGGAAACUUACGCUAAUACCGCAUACGACCUACGGGUGAAAGCAGGGGAUCUUCGGACCUUGCGCGAUUGAAUGAGCCGAUGUCGGAUUAGCUAGUUGGCGGGGUAAGGGCCCACCAAGGCGACGAUCCGUAGCUGGUCUGAGAGGAUGAUCGGCCACACUGGAACUGAGACACGGUCCAGACUCAUACGGGAGGCAGCAGUGGGGAAUAUGGGACAGUGGGCGAAAGCCUGAUCCAGCCAGACCGCGGGGGUGAAGAAGGCCUUCGGGUUGUAAAGCCCUUUUGUUGGGAAAGAAAAGCAGCAGGUUAAUACCCCGCUGUGCUGACGGUACCCAAAGAAUAAGCACCGGCUAACUUC
rnacentral:rRNA from 1 species